rnacentral:rRNA from 2 species
CUCCGUAGGGUGAACCUGCGGAGGGAUCAUUA